GCCUAACACAUGCAAGUCGAACGAGAAAGUGGAGCAAUCCAUGAGUAAAGUGGCGACCGGGUGAGUAACACGUGACUAACCUACCUCCGAAUGGGGAAUAACUCCGGGAAACCGGGGCUAAUACCGCAUAACACCGCAAGGUCAAAGCAGCAAUGCGUUUGGAGAGGGGGUCGCGGCUGAUUAGCUAGUUGGCGGGGUAACGGCCCACCAAGGCGAAGAUCGGUAUCCGGCCUGAGAGGGCGCACGAACACACUGGAACUGAAACACGGUCCAGACUCCUACGGGAGGCAGCAGUGGGGAAUUUUGCGCAAUGGGGGAAACCCUGACGCAGCAACGCCGCGUGGAGGAUGAAGCCCUUUGGGGCGUAAACUCCUUUCGACCAAGACGAUAAUGACGGUACUGGUGGAAGAAGCACCGGCUAACUCUGUGCCAGCAGCCGCGGUAAUACAGAGGGUGCAAGCGUUGUUCGGAAUUAUUGGGCGUAAAGGGCGCGUANGCGGUGCCACAAGUCACCUGUGAAAUCUCCGGGCUUAACUC
rnacentral:rRNA from 1 species